GAUGAACGCUGGCGGCGUGCCUAAUACAUGCAAGUCGAGCGAACGGACGAGAAGCUUGUUUCUCUGAUGUUAGCGGCGGACGGGUGUGUAACAUGUGUAUAAUCUACCUAUAAGACUGGGAUAACUUCGGGAAACCGGAGCUUAUACCGGAUAAUAUUUUGAACCGUAUGGUUCAAUAGUGAAAGACGGUCUUGCUGUCACUUAUAGAUGGAUCCGCGCUGCAUUAGCUAGUUGGUAAGGUAACGGCUUACCAAGGCAACGAUGCAUAGCCGACCUGAGAGGGUGAUCGGCCACACGGGAACUGAGACACGGUCCAGACUCCUACGGGAGGCAGCAGUAGGGAAUCUUCCGCAAUGGGCGAAAGCCUGACGGAGCAACGCCGCGUGAGUGAUAAAGGUCUUCGGAUCGUAAAACUCGGUUAUUAGGGAAGAACAUAUGUGUAAGUAACUGUGCACAUCUUGACGGUACCUAAUCAGAAAGCCACGGCUAACUACGUG
rnacentral:rRNA from 1 species